rnacentral:tRNA from 1 species
GCCGGGAUGGUGGAACUUGGUAGACACACCAGACUUAAAAUCUGGAGAUCAUUGAUGAUCGUGCGGGUUCGAUUCCCGCUCCCGGUACCA